rnacentral:rRNA from 1 species
AGCGAACGCUGGCGGCAGGCCUAACACAUGCAAGUCGAACGAAGUCUUCGGACUUAGUGGCGGACGGGUGAGUAACACGUGGGAACGCACCUUUUGGUUCGGAACAACUCAGGGAAACUUGAGCUAAUACCGGAUGAGCCCUUAGGGGGAAAGAUUUAUCGCCGAAAGAGCGGCCCGUGUUAGAUUAGCUAGUGGGUGGGGUAAAGGCUCACCAAGGCUAUGAGCUAUGGCUGGUCUGAGAGGAUGAUCAGCCACACUGGGACUGAGACACGGCCCAGACUCCUACGGGAGGCAGCAGUGGGGAAUCUUGCGCAAUGGGCGAAAGCCUGACGCAGCCAUGCCGCGUGAAUGAUGAAGGUCUUAGGAUUGUAAAAUUCUUUUACCAGGGACGAUAAUGACGGUACCUGGAGAAAAAGCCCCGGCUAACUUCGUGCCAGCAGCCGCCGUAAAAC